UGCAAGUCGAGGGAGAUAUCGGAUUCGUCUGAUAUGAAACCGGCGCACGGGUGCGUAACACGUAUGCAACCUACCUUUAACUGGGGUAUAGCUCAGAGAAAUCUGAAUUAAUCCCCCAUAACACUACGACAUGGCAUCAUGAUGUAGUUAAAGCUCCGGCGGUUAAGGAUGGGCAUGCGGUACAUUAGCUAGUUGGUGAGGUAAUGGCUCACCAAGGCUACGAUGUAUAGGGGGUCUGAGAGGAUGAUCCCCCACACUGGUACUGAGACACGGACCAGACUCCUACGGGAGGCAGCAGUAGGGAAUAUUGGUCAAUGGACGCAAGUCUGAACCAGCCAUGCCGCGUGAAGGAUGAAGGCCCUCUGGGUCGUAAACUUCUUUUAUUAGGGAAGAAACCUCAGGAUGCGUCCUGAGCUGACGGUACUUAAUGAAUAAGGAUCGGCUAACUUCGUGCCAGCAGCCGCGGUAAGACGAAGGAUCCAAGCGUUGUCCGGAUUUACUGGGUUUAAAGGGUGCGUAGGCGGAAAAUUAAGUCAGUGGUGAAAGCCCGCAGCUCAACUGUGGAACUGCCAUUGAAACUGGUUUUCUUGAAUAUAGCUGAGGCAGAUGGAAUAUAACAUGUAGCGGUGAAAUGCUUAGAUAUGUUAUAGAACACCGAUUGCGAAGGCAGUCUGCUAAACUAUUAUUGACGCUGAGGCACGAAAGCGUGGGGAGCGAACAGGAUUAGAUACCCUGGUAGUCCACGCCCUAAACGUUGAUUACUCGCUGUUGGCGAUAUACUGUCAGUGGCUAAGCGAAAGCAUUAAGUAAUCCACCUGGGAAGUACGACCGCAAGGUUGAAACUCAAAGGAAUUGACGGGGGCCCGCACAAGCGGAGGAGCAUGUGGUUUA
rnacentral:rRNA from 1 species